rnacentral:lncRNA from 1 species
UAAGCUUAGUAGUAAGAAUAACUAGAUGAAGAGCUAAUUUUUUUUUUUUUUUUUUGAAACAAGACGAAGAACUAAUUAAAUCCCCCUAAUAACAAUUUAAACUAGCAAUACUUAUAUCAACCUUAUGACAAACCUAAAUGUAACAGAGAGAUUACUCACACAUAUUCAUAAAAGACAUGGUUAUGAUGGUCUAAAUAAUACAUCAAUUGAUAGAUAAACAAAAUAGAGUAAAGAAACAAAGGGAGUUCAAGAUCUUCCCUCUCUCAAGGUGUACAGAUCUCUCUCUCCAAUCCUAAGCUCUCUCUCUCUCUAAAAUAGUAUGAAGCAUAGCUGUCAGCAAUGGCUUAGAAAAUAGUAAAAUAGGAUUUUUGGUCAUCCAGGGGUAUAUUGGUAAUAUGUGGUUACUUCUGGGCCUAAAUUGGUCAUAAAAUAUGCUUGGGCCGCAUUCUGGCAUUCAUAUCGAUCGAUGUCAAGAGUUCUGCAUCGAUCGACAUACGUUCCUAUUCUCAACAGCUUCCUCUCGCGAGGCAGACUGACCAAUCUUCAGUAAAACAGGCAUAACGUCUGCAACAGUAUACUGAUUGACCUCAAACUGGUGGUGUUAAAAAGCUAACGCAAACCUUUAUCUUGUGUCAAAAGAUGAGCUCAAUCUAACGGUGGGAACGUCUCCAUCCAUAGCUAAACAUCUGAUGCGUCUGUGCAGUUCUGCACCUCAAAAUGCUCCAAAAUCACCAUAUUUCUCC